rnacentral:rRNA from 1 species
GAUCCUGGCUCAGGAUGAACGCUAGCGAUAGGCCUAACACAUGCAAGUCGAGGGGCAGCACAUGAAGUAGCAAUACAGAUGGUGGCGACCGGCGCACGGGUGAGUAACACGUAUGCAACCUACCUUCCACAGGAGAAUAACUCGUUGAAAAACGGACUAAUACUCCAUAAUACAGGGGUCCCGCAUGGGAAUAUUUGUUAAAGAUUUUUUCGGUAGAAGAUGGGCAUGCGUUCCAUUAGCUAGUUGGUUGAGGUAACGGCUCACCAAGGCAACGAUGGAUAGGGGAACUGAGAGGUUUAUCCCCCACACUGGUACUGAGACACGGACCAGACUCCUACGGGAGGCAGCAGUGAGGAAUAUUGGUCAAUGGAGGCAACUCUGAACCAGCCACGUCGCGUGAAGGAUGACGGCCCUACGGGUUGUAGACUUCUUUUAUACAGGAAUAAAGUGAGUCACGUGUGACUUUUUGCAUGUACUGUAUGAAUAAGGAUCGGCUAACUCCGUGCCAGCCGCCGC